ACUGCUAUCGGGGUCCGACUAAGCCAUGCGAGUCAAGGGGCUCCCCUUUUGGGGAGCACCGGCGAACGGCUCAGUAACACGUGGCUAACCUACCCUCGGGUGGGGGAUAACCUCGGGAAACUGAGGCUAAUCCCCCAUAGGGGAGGAGGUCUGGAAUGAUCCCUCCCCGAAAGCCCGUAAGGGCGCCCGAGGAUGGGGCUGCGGCGGAUUAGGUAGUUGGUGGGGUAACGGCCCACCAAGCCUACGAUCCGUACGGGCCCUGAGAGGGGGAGCCCGGAGAUGGACACUGAGACACGGGUCCAGGCCCUACGGGGCGUAGCAGGCGCGAAACCUCCGCAAUGCGCGAAAGCGCGACGGGGGGACCCCGAGUGCCCUCCCUCUGGGAGGGCUUUUCCGGAGUGUAAACAGCUCCGGGAAUAAGGGCUGGGCAAGUCCGGUGCCAGCAGCCGCGGUAAUACCGGCGGCCCAAGUGGUGGCCACUGUUAUUGGGCCUAAAGCGUCCGUAGCCGGCCCGGUAAGUCCCUGCUUAAAUCCCGCGGCUUAACCGCGGGGCUGGCAGGGAUACUGCCGGGCUAGGGACCGGGAGAGGCCGGGGGUACCCCAGGGGUAGCGGUGAAAUGCGUUGAUCCCUGGGGGACCACCUAUGGCGAAGGCACUCGGCUGGAACGGGUCCGACGGUGAGGGACGAAAGCUAGGGGAGCGAACCGGAUUAGAUACCCGGGUAGUCCUAGCCGUA
rnacentral:rRNA from 1 species